rnacentral:lncRNA from 1 species
CUCCAGGGAGUGGAAGAACUGUGAAAAAGGCUGACUACCAAUCAGGUGAAGUCACCACAGGGAUGCUUUGCAGUUGCUAAUGAUCCAAAUUUCCAACCAGGAAGGAAAGAGGAAGUCAGAGGAGAGAACACUGCUAAGGGUCCUGCCCUUGGAAGGCAUUUGAUUUAAAAUACUGAAGCAAGGAGGAGCAGUCUUUAACAUCACUUACUAAUCAGCUGGAUGCUAUAGAUCCCUCAACACCCUUUAUAUCAUCCCAUUUAAUUUACUACAUGCUAUUCUAAAAGGAGAAAAACAUACACUAGUUUGGAAUAAAAAGCUGACACAUCCUCCA